GACAAUCGGGGAGAGACAGAAACUUUCUUCUCAAAGAUAGCUGAUCUUUUGAAGCUUUCGAGGGACGUCCAGAGGACACCAGUGGAUUAUUUAUUUACCUGGGAGAGAGCACAUUAUAUUUCAAGGUUUUACCAGGAUUUUCGCCAUUCUUCCUGUCURCCCAUGGUGUUUUCUAACACCAAUGGUUUAUUCGAUACCAUCGAUAAUCCUCAUGAAGUGUUUUCAGAAGAAUGAAGACACCCGGGUAACAAGGGUGAAGACUUUACCA